rnacentral:misc_RNA from 1 species
UUAAGUUCAGCGGGUGGUCCUACUCGAUUUGAGGUCAAGUUGUCAGUAGUUGUCCGAAGACAGUUGGAAGCACAGAGCUCCUGAUCAGCCACCCUCUUUCGAGGUGCCGGCGAAGACACUUAUCACGCCGUACUAUGUCCAAUCAAGAGAUGCACUGAUGCAUUUGAGGUGAGCCACAAGGAAAGCAGCAAGCACCCAAG